rnacentral:hammerhead_ribozyme from 1 species
AUCCAGCUGACGAGUUCCAAAUAGGACGAAACGCUAAUUAUGGAU